CCUACCUUGCCACUGCCUACUCUUUGCCAUCAAUGGCCUCAGCUGACGUGUUCAUCUCUGGAACCCGCGGAAUUGCCCUCCCCUCCCUAUAAAAAGCCACCCAAGGCCCUCGAACAACACCAUCUCACUCUCCCUCUCCCUCACUGACCCACCCGUUGCAGCAACACGACCAAAGGAGGUCAUCUUCUCUGAUUCUGGCAACUACUGCCGUCGCCACUGUUCGGAUGGUUCCGACGCCGUUCGGCCCUCCCUCUCACAAGUUUCUCCAUCACUAGCCUCCUUGAGCACCCAUUGAUCCAUCCCCGCACUCGAUUUUGCCCGGGAGCCACCAUAGGCAAAACGCCCAAUUCGUCUCCGCCGGAGCUCCUCGGGUGAGCUCGCCGCCGGCGACUCCCUCCACUCCAGCGACCAAGGAGGGUACCCACGUGUUCGCCUCAACCUCCUGAGCUCGUAGGCGGCCUCGGUUUUCCAAACGGUGCCGCCGUUCGCCGGCGCCGACCACCGGAGCUCCGCCUCUGUUCAGCCGGAUAAGGAGGCAAGCGUGUGGACUGGUCAAACCUGACCAGUGGGCCCGGCGGGCCCACUGUCAGUGACACAACACCGCGCCACCUCGUCUUAAGUGGAGACGAGUUCCGUUGAAGUUUCUUUCCCGUGGGGAAAGCGUAUUAUGGCGAGGGCGCCUUCGACGUCGCAGCCCUCCCGCGCGGUCGAGCGAUUGGGCUUGGCCUAGUACCGCCAGGCAGCUAUACCGCACCUAGGGCGCGUUUCUGCUCAGCCCAUCAUAGUAAUAUUUGUUCUCUUUUUCUUUUCCAGAAGAUUUCAAAUAAAUCCACAGCAUCCAUUUCACAUCCAAAUCUGAUGAUUCAAAUUUCUGUCUACUCCUAAAAUCAUGCUCUAUUUAUCCAGAUAGGGUGAACAUUUUUCCUAGUCCUGGUUUUUGCUGGAUCUACUAAAUAGUCCAUUUUCCUUUAAUAUUCCAUCUUAGUAAAUCCAUAGGAAAAUCAUGUAAACUUCAAAUGACUUGAUUCUUUUUCUCUUAUCUCUCAAAUUUCAUCUAGUUUAUUUUAGUAUUUAUUUCACAAAUUUCCAAACAACUUUUAUGUACUAUUUUGGAAUUAUGUGGUAAUUAAAAUAUUUUGAAAAUAGGAAACACAGGGGAGAUAUGAUUUUCAAGUUUUAGAGUGCACCCAACAUCUCUGCAUGCUCAAGGCAAGCAUCUUGAACACAUGAUAUGGUGAAUGCAUAGUGUUUGUUUGCAUGUAGAAUUGAAUUAUGAAUAUAUUCAACUCGUGUGAAAUUUGCAUAGUAUUGCUCAUACAUGCACGAUUUCCCUUUGAUGGUAUUUUAUCUUCAUUUAAGCAUGAAGUAUGAGUGAGUACGGCUAUUUUCAUGUGCCAUAUGUGCCUGUGUUGGUCCAGGCUAAUUUGCAGGAAGAAUCGGUCAUGAGAAAAGUGACUGUGAGAUUGAAAUCUCGUUGUGAUGAGAAUGAUCGGUGAGGGUAUGUUGAGACAUACCAGGGAGUGACAUUGUUGGGUACUGUCGGUGUCAAAACCGGCGGAUCUCGGGUAGGGGGUCCCGA
rnacentral:lncRNA from 1 species